rnacentral:tRNA from 1 species
UCUAUAGCUCAGUGGUUAGAGCACUGGUCUUGUAAACCAGGGGUCGUGAGUUCAAAUCUAAUCUCACUGGA